AGGCCAUUCGGCCCUUCGAGCCAGCACCGCCAUUCAUUGUGAUCAUGGCUGAUCGUCCCCUAUCAAUAACCCGUGCCUGCCUUCUCCCCCUAUCCCUUGACUCCACUAGCUCAUAGAGCUCUAUCUAACAAAUGUACAAAUACAUGAUAAAGGAAUAACGUUCAGUCCAAGGUUAAGCCAGCAAAUGAGGGUCUGAAGGUUACCAAAGAGGUAGUCAAUAGUAUUUUAUUGUCAUAUGUCCCAGAUCGAAUAAUGACAUUCUUACUUGCUGCAGUACAACAGAAUAUGAAAACAUAUAAGGAGGUUGCCGCAGUCGAGGUCACGACCCGUGAGUACACGGGAUGAACUGCAGGAUUGAGCGGGGAGUGUAAGACUUGUGAAGAACAGUCAGUGGAUCUUCCAUCGAGAGGUUUCUUUCGAGGGGCCGCACAGUUGGUCUUGACUCCAAUGGACAUCAGAGAGGUUCCCUAGACCAGUGGAAUGGAGAUACAUCCCUUGAACAACGAGGUCUAUCCCCUCAACACGGAGAAGCCAACGGCAGAGCCCACCAAGGAAGCAGAGGAUUACAAGGAGAACGGGGUUCUGAUCCAGAGUCCCAGGACCGCCAAAAAGAUCCUGAGGAAGGAUCGCAAGAAACUGUCGAAAUUUCUGAAGAAGGGCAAGAAACGCCAGGCCUCCUUCGUUGGACCCAUCGGUGAGGGCGAGGGAGGGGACGUGGCUCCAACCCUGCACUCAGAUGUGGACAAAAUCGUCCCUUCAGGUCGAGAGAAUUGGAGCAAUAAAGUAGACUUCUUGCUAUCGGUCAUUGGCUACGUGGUUGACCUCGGCAAUGUGUGGAGAUUCCCCUACAUCUGCUAUCAGAACGGAGGCGGGGCCUUUUUACUGCCCUACAUUGUGAUGGCGAUGUUUGGUGGCAUCCCUCUCUUUUACAUGGAAUUGGCACUGGGGCAGUACCACAGGACCGGAGCCAUCUCCAUCUGGGCAAAGAUAUGCCCACUCUUCAAAGGAAUUGGAUAUGCAAUCUGUGUGAUAAAUCUGUACAUUUCCUUUUACUAUAACACCAUUAUCUCCUGGGCUCUGUUCUAUCUCUACUCAUCGUUGAAUUCCAUGCCUCCCUGGACCUCCUGCCAGAACGUGUGGAACACCCCCAACUGCACCAACUACUUCCUCAUGGGUAACGACACCUGGACCAAGUUCUCCGUCUCACCAGCUGAGGAAUUUUAUGUUCGCCAAGUGCUUAUGGCUCAUAAAUCGAAUGGUUUGGGUGAUGUUGGCGGUAUCAACUGGCACCUUUUAAUUUGUCUGCUCAUAAUAUUAACUUUGGUGUACUUCAGUAUUUGGCAUGGCAUAAGGACCUCUGGAAAGGUGGUGUGGGUGACGGCCACUCUGCCUUAUUUCGUGCUGUUCAUCCUCCUGAUCCGUGGGGCCACACUGCCAGGGGCUUGGAAAGGAAUCGUCUUCUACCUGCAUCCGCAGUGGAACGAAAUGUUCGCCGUGCAGGUGUGGAUUGACGCGGCUACACAAAUUUUCUUCUCGAUGGGCCCCGGGUUUGGUGUCCUGAUAGCACUUGCCAGCUACAACAAAUUCGACGACAACUGCUUCAGGGAUGCAAUAAUCACCAGCUCUGUGAAUUGUUUGACCAGUUUCUUCGCCGGCUUUGUUAUAUUCACCAUCCUGGGCUACAUGGCAGAGAAGAGGAGCGAACAUGUUUCAGAAGUGGCCAAAGAUUUGGGACCGAGUCUUCUCUUCAUCUCCUGCGCAGAGGCAUUGGCCAACAUGCACGCAUCCUCCUUCUACUCAGCCAUCUUCUUCCUCAUGCUCGUCACCAUGGGUCUGGACACCACGUUUUUAGGUCUGGAAGGUGUGAUCACCGCAGUAAUGGAUGAAUAUCCGGACUUACUGAGAAAACGGCGAAAGUGGUUUGUGCUGGUACUGAUCAUAAUCUGCACUCUGGGAUCGAUGAGCACCCUCACCUAUGGUGGAGUAUUCGUGGUGAAAUUCUUUGAAGUAUAUGCCACAGGAACCGCUGUUAUUGUUGUGGUGUUUCUGGAGGCCAUUGCUGUGUCUUGGUUUUACGGUAUGAAACAAUUCUGCAAAGAUAUUAGUGAAAUGAUUGGGUUCACUCCUGGGAAAUUAUGGCAGAUAUGCUGGGUCGUUAUUAGUCCAGUUUUUCUAAUGUUCAUCAUUAUCAGUUUGCUGUCAACUCCGAUAGAAAAUAAACUCUUUAAUUACACCUACCCUCACUGGACUAAAGUGUUGGGCAAUUUCAUAGGCGUGUCCUCAGUUAUCUGGGUUCCAAUCUAUAUGAUAUAUAAAAUCAUCAUUACACCAGGAACACUUGGAGAGAAAAUCUCGAAAAGCAUAACGCCUGAGAGCAGUGUAAUCGUAUCCUCUAUAGAUUUGGUCCACUAGAAUGCCAUUUGAUCAACAAUUAUUGGUGUACUUUACUUCUUGGACUAACUGUUCCAAUCAGCAAGAGGCUUCUGCUUAUGAUUAUAUACGAGGGAUUUCAGAUGAUAAUUUCAUCUUAGUAAGUCUGCUUGUCUGGGCAGUAAGAGCUACAGAAUUGCAUACAAUGUGGUUUAUGCAUAUUGUUUCUGCAGUCACAUCAUGCAUGCUGCAACAUUCACAUGACCUUGACUUUGGUGGUCAGGGCUAUGCAAGAAAUAUUUAAGGCAGAGAUUAACAGAUUCUUGAUUCUUGAUUAGUAAUUGGCCUAUCCCACUUAGGUGAUUUUUCAGCAGACUGCCGGCGACUGUCAAGUUGCCGGCAGUCGCCUGAAAAACCGGCAACUGGAACGGCGACUGUCAGAGUGGAACACACACACACACACACACACACACACACACACACAUCGCUUCCUUCACCAGCCCGUUAUGCAGGCGGGGUACAGGGCAAGCGGGGUGAGAGCUGUCUAAAUUCACAUGGUGUAAAGCCAAGGUGAAACAGACACACACCGCGAUGAACAGGAAGGUUGGCGCUGAAAAAAGACAGCUAAAGCACAGUGUACGGUAAGUCCUUUAAAAGGGGAGGGGGGGCAAAGGAAUGGAGAUAGCUUUUAAGAAGCCAGAGAUGCACGGCUGUGAAGCUCAGCAGACAUUUAAUAUUACCGGCCAGUUAUCCUUGGUUCUGAAAACGACCACUUACUGUUUUUUUUCUCCCAGUGAGCCAAUGAAAUUCACGUCAGCACCGGCUACAACCUACGAGAACCUUCGACCUCCUGGCGACCCAUCUACAGCUCGAGAAUUCUCGCUACUCUCCAUUGCGGCUUCAUUCAAGUUGCCGCUAAUUUUUCAACAUCCUGAAAAAUUCAUGGCGACCAUAAUGAGGCUGCGACUAGUUCCCAGAAUGCGGGAACUCACCACCAUAAAGGUGACUCCCCGGCAACCACCCGCGAACAUGUGGUCGCCUAAAAAGUCGCCUAAAUGGCACAGGCCCAUAAGGGUGUCAGGAGUUAUAGAAACAUAGAAAAUAGGUGCAGGAGUCGGCUAUGUGGCCCUUCGAGCCAGCACCACCAUCCAAUACGAUCAUAGCUUAUCAUCCAGAAUCAGUAGCCCGUUCCUGCUUUCUCCCCAUAUCCCUUGAUUCUGGUAGCCCCAAGAGCUAAAUCUAACUCUCUUGAAAAUAUCCAGUGAAUUGGCCUCCACUGCCUUCUAGUGGCAGAUAAUUCCACAGAUUCACAACUGUCUGGGUGAAAAUGUUUUUGCUCACACAGUCCUAUAUAGCCUACCCUUUAUUCUUAAACUGUGAUCCCUGGUUUUGAACUCCCCCAACAUGGGGAACAUUUUUUCUAUAUCUAGCUUGCCCAAUCCCUUAAGAAUGUAAUAUGUGGCUGUAAGAUCUCCUAUCAUCCAUUUAAAUUCCAGUGAAUACAAGCCCAGUCGAUCCAUUCUUUCAUCAUAUGUCAGUCCCACCAUCCCGGGAAUUAACCUGGUGAACCUACGCUGCACUUCCCGCAGGAGAAUGGGGUUACGAGGGAAAGAUAUCUCUAAAUUAAAACUAACAUAAUGUUCCCCUCUAUCUGACGGGAGUUCUGUGAGACGCUCUCUCACCGUUAAGACCAUGUUAUCCACCCACCCCCACCCCUUCACCGGUAUCACUCACUGGGCUUUGACCCACC